rnacentral:misc_RNA from 1 species
CUGUCAGAUUCUCCAGCUGCCAGCCCCAAAAGUAAUGUGAAUCCUUUUGUGAACUUCAGUUACGUAAGACCCGCUGCCUCGUUCCUUCAAAAGAACAGCCGUGUAUUGUAGCUGCCAUGUUUAUGUGGUGUGAUUCUGAAAAAUUCAUUUAGGUAUUGUUUUGUGGGAUAUGUAGUUUCAACUCGCAAAGGAUGGUUGUGCCAAUGAACAAAGUUCAUUUCGAUUGUUGAAUUGUGUUUGAUAUUCUUAAUUAAGAUGUAUACAUUCAGGCAAAACGCUCCCUGUGGGCGUUUGAGAGUAUAAUAUGUUCUAGAAAUUGAUGACUUAUGUCUGAUAGUAACAUGUGCC